UCGACAUCAUCAGGGGUAUUAAAAGAUUCGUUCAACACUUGAAGCAUCUGCUCAAGCUGUGCAUCCUCAAAUUUAUGACUAAAUUCUUCAUUCAACGCUGCCCUCAUGAUGCAUCGCACUGUGGUUUGGUCAUUUAGCCACUUCUGAUAAGUAUCUCUGACCGCACUACGUGCGUUGGGUGCAGGUUCUUCAGGUGCAGGAUCUGUAAGGAC
rnacentral:lncRNA from 1 species